rnacentral:rRNA from 1 species
CCUACGGGAGGCAGCAGUAGGGAAUUUUCGGCAAUGGGGGGAACCCUGACCGAGCAACGCCGCGUGAACGAAGAAGUUAUUCGUAAUGUAAAGUUCUUUUAACAGGGAAGUAAGAGAAAUUUGACGGUACCUGAAGAAUAAGCUCCGGCUAACUACGUGCCAUCAGCCGCGGUAAUACGUAGGGAGCGAGCGUUAUCCGGAAUUAUUGGGCGUAAAGGGUGCGUAGAUGGCAUAGUAAGUCUUUUGUAAAAAUGCUGGGCUCAACCCAGUAGGGCAAAAGAUACUGCAAAGCUAGAGUAUGACAGAGGCAGGUGGAACUACAUGUGUAGCGGUGAAAUGCGUAGAUAUAUGUAAGAACACCAGUGGCGAAGGCGGCUUGCUGGGUCGAUACUGACAUUGAGGCACGAAAGCGUGGGGAGCAAACAGGAUUAGAUACCCGGGUAGUC